rnacentral:rRNA from 1 species
UACGUAGGGGGCAAGCGUUGUCCGGAUUUACUGGGCGUAAAGAGCGUGUAGGCGGCCAAGCAGGUCCGUUGUGAAAACUGGAGGCUUAACCUCCAGACGUCGACGGAAACCGCGUGGCUAGAGUCCGGAAGAGGAGAGUGGAAUUCCUGGUGUAGCGGUGAAAUGCGCAGAUAUCAGGAAGAACACCAACGGCGAAGGCAGCUCGCUGGGACGGAACUGACGCUAAGGCGCGAAAGCGUGGGGAGCGAACAGG